rnacentral:lncRNA from 1 species
AUUGAAAGCACAAAAAAUAUCCUAUUCGUAAUAAAUAAUGAAAAAUAAUAGUAAAAGGGAAGUAGGGUCAAAUCCUCAAGGACUGGAUUUGCACAAUAUCUUGUUCUGUGAAAUCCUAGGCAGAAUCUUGCCUAAGAAAACCUGCGUUCCUGAAAAAAAUAAAAAAAAUAGAAGAAUUAAAGGUUUGGAUCUGGAAACGAAAAAUAAAAUAAAAACAGAAUUAGGAAUAUUGAAUCAAAAAUUUGAGAAAAAUAGAGUUGAGAGAAAGAAAAUUCUUAUGGGAGAUUCUAGCCUCCAGUUAUCUCAUUUCGCCUUGGGUUCAAUCCUCGACUUUUAGAUGAUCCUUCCCAAACCAAAUAAGCCAGUUAUAGUGGAAGAGGAUGCCUCGACCACCAGCUCCAAGGAUUUAGACUUACGAUUUGGUGGAACCUGACUCUAGCCAACAAUAGCUUCUAUGAGAUCAUCUUAUGCUAGAUCAACGCUUCUCAAUGGCGAAUCCCACGCCAUUUUGUCUCUUGGGCUCGCCAACCUCUGACGCAGUAAGCUAACGAACCGACUGUGCAACCUUCCCAAAACAUACCAAGCGGCCGCCUUUGCAUACGUUGAAAAGCUUACUUCUUAAGGGAUAUGGACGGAAGCGUCAGCCCCGUAGUGCGAAGAAACGAUGAAUACUCGUUGAGAAGGCUAAGUACAGAUUCUAAGCCUCAUGAACCCUUUUGGAGAUUUUCGACAACCUUUGGCUAGAUGGGUUUAGUAGCUCAUGGUUGUGGUAGAAAAGAAAAUAAAUAAAAUAAAAAUAGAGAUUUUAUUGAAAGGAAAUAUGAGAAGAACAAAAGCUUAGACUUUUGGAGAAAGAGUGUUUACAGAAAAGGAUCCUCCUCUUUUGAGUUAUUUCAUCCCCUAUUUAUAGUGCUAGGGGAGAUAUUCUAAUCCUAUUUAAAUUCCUAAAAAAUAAAUACAUUUAAUUGAAGAUAAAUAAAAAUAAAUAAAAUAAAAUCUUAAAAAUAAUUCUUAAUAAUUAUCUUAAUAUUAAUUAUCCUAAUAUAAUUAAAAUAGAGUUUAAUAGAAUAAAAUCUCUUCUUUUUGCAUUUCAACCCUUGUGUUCUCCAUACUUGCACUUUUGGCAUCAACUUUUCCUUGUGUCGCACAUUGGCCCAUUUUAUUUCUAAAUUCAGGCUUUUGGCCCUUAAUUUUACUUUUGCCUCAAAUUUAGUCCCUAUAAGAUAAAAGAUCAUAAAUAGUAUAAAUUAACAGGAUCAUACUCAGAAUAAAUACAUAAUUAAGAUAUAAAAAUACAUUAUUCUAGAGUGUUAUCAAAUCUCUUACAAGAGAUGGAACCAUUAGUAUGAUGCCUGCCGAAAUAAUAUUGUAGCAUGUAAAAGGUAAAGGCGAAGUGAAGAGAACGCUAAGAGAAUCAGCCAUCAAUCUAUGGAAAUGGGCAGUUAAAGUUACUAUCGUAUCAGAAGUAUUAGUCAAAACCCGUUCACUACUGUAAGAAAAAGAGUAAGAAAGGACAGUGAGAGAAAGUAGAAAGACAUGUUGUAAAACCAAGAUAAAAUUUUUGACAUUUUGGGGGUGUGCUUUGGGAUUUCAAUAUUAUAUUACUAGUUUGUCUUUCACAUUCCUUGCCAAAAACAGUGAAAAACUCAUGAAAGUGGAGGACUUUUCAGGUCACCUUCUUCAAUCUAAGAAACUUUGUUUUUUUGGCUUUAAUUUGCUUUGCCCCCACCUUACCACCCCUUUACCUGUUCAUGGAUCCCAAAGGCUCCAAGCAGCCACCAGCUGAAGUAUCCAACUUCUUGAGCUUGCCACCACAACCCCAACAACAGCCUCAUCAAAGCAUGGGAGAGAACAAAGCAGGUGAAAGCAAGGGUUUCCGGAUUGUUGCAAGUAAAGAAGAAGGGAAGAAACAACAGUUGGCUCCAAAGAGAAGUUCUAACAAAGACAGGCACACUAAAGUUGAAGGGAGAGGUAGAAGAAUAAGGAUGCCUGCUUUAUGUGCAGCUAGAAUCUUUCAGUUGACCAGAGAAUUGGGACACAAAUCUGAUGGGGAAACCAUACAGUGGCUGUUACAACAAGCUGAACCAUCAAUAAUAGCCGCCACGGGGAGCGGAACCAUACCAGCUUCAGCUUUGGCAGCAGCUGGAGGCUCAGUUUCUCAUCAGGGGGCCUCUCUGUCAGCUGGAUUGCACCAAAAGAUGGAAGACUUAGAGGGGUCCAGUAUAGGGUCUGGAAGCAGUAGGACCAGUUGGGCAACGGUUGGUGCCAACAAUUUGGGGAGACCCCAUCAUGUAGCAACAGGGUUAUGGCCCUCAGUCAGUGGUUAUGGGUUUCAGACAUCAUCUGGUCCAUCUACAACCAAUUUAGGCACUGAAAGUUCUAUUUAUCUGCAAAAAAUCGGGAUUCCUGGUUUUGAUUUGCCAGCUACUAAUAUUGGUCAGAUGAGCUUCACCUCAAUCUUAGGUGCGGCUAACCAGCAACUCCCUGGUUUGGAACUUGGGUUGUCUCAAGAUGGUCAUAUUGGGGUUCUAAAUCAUCAAGCCUUAAGCCAAAUUUAUCAACAAAUGGGGCAGGCUAGGGUGCUCCAGCAAAAGCAGAAUCAGCAAAAUCCCCCUGCUAAGGAUGAUUCCCAAGGAUCAGGCCACUAAAGUUAUAAACUUUGGGUACAUACUAGCAUUCCUAAGAGAGGAUGACUUUCUUUCUUGUAAUGGUUUCAGUAUUGUAUAAUUGAAAAAAAAAAAAAAGAAAAAGAAGAAAAAAAGAGUGAGAAAAAUGUAUACUUAGCCUCUCAGAAUUCUACAGGGACAGAAUGGACUUUAGUUUUGCCCCCUUCUCUCUGCACUGCAUCACCCAAGUUUCCAUUACAC